rnacentral:rRNA from 1 species
ACGGGAGGCAGCAGUGAGGAAUAUUGGUCAAUGGACGGAAGUCUGAACCAGCCAAGUCGCGUGAAGGAUGAAGGUUCUAUGGAUUGUAAACUUCUUUUGUCUGAGGGUAAAGUGCGGUACGUGUACCGUUUUGCAAGUAUCAGACGAAUAAGCAUCGGCUAACUCCGUGCCAGCAGCCGCGGUAAUACGGAGGAUGCGAGCGUUAUCCGGAUUUAUUGGGUUUAAAGGGUGCGCAGGCGGCACGUUAAGUCAGCGGUGAAAUGUCGGGGCUCAACCCGGGCACUGCCGUUGAAACUGGCGAGCUUGAGUACGGAUGAAGUCGGCGGAAUGUGAUGUGUAGCGGUGAAAUGCUUAGAUAUGUCACAGAACACCGAUUGCGAAGGCAGCUGACUAAUCCGCAACUGACGCUCAGGCACGAAAGCGUGGGGAUCGAACAGGAUUAGAUACCCUGGUA